AUUGAACGCUGGCGGCAUGCCUAACACAUGCAAGUCGAACGGCAGCACGGCAGUAGCAAUACUGUGGGUGGCGAGUGGCGGACGGGUGAGGAAUACGUCGGAAUCUGCCCAGUCUGGGGGAUAACUAGCCGAAAGGUUAGCUAAUACCGCAUACGACCGAGAGGUGAAAGCGGGGGACCGCAAGGCCUCGCGCGAUUGGAUGAGCCGACGUCGGAUUAGCUAGUUGGAGGGGUAAAGGCCCACCAAGGCGACGAUCCGUAGCUGGUCUGAGAGGAUGAUCAGCCACACUGGAACUGAGACACGGUCCAAACUCCUACGGGAGGCAGCAGUGGGGAAUAUUGGACAAUGGGCGCAAGCCUGAUCCAGCAAUGCCGCGUGUGUGAAGAAGGCCUUCGGGUUGUAAAGCACUUUUAUCAGGAACGAAAAGCGUUGGAUUAAUACUCUGACGUGCUGACGGUACCUGAGGAAUAAGCACCGGCUAACUUCGUG
rnacentral:rRNA from 1 species